GACGAACGCUGGCGGCGUGCCUAAUACAUGCAAGUAGAACGCUGGAGGAGUAGCUGGCUCUUCUUGCUGAUUUGCGGACGGGUGAGUAUCGCGUAUGUAUCCUGCCUUGCAGCGGGGUAUGACUUUAGGAAACGAUAGUUAAUAUCGCAUAAGAUUAGAUGUUGCAUGACAUUUACGUAAUAUUCGCAAUUUCCUCACUACAAUAUGGCGCUGCGUUGUAUUCGCGAUUUGGUGGGGUAACGGCUCACCAAGGCGACGAUACAUAGCCGACCUGAGAGGGUGAUCGACCACACUGGGACUGAGAAACGGCCCAGACUCCUACGGGAGGCAGCAGUAGGGAAUCUUCGGAAAUGGACGGAAGUCUGACCGAGCAACGCCGCGUGAGUGAAGGAGGUUUUCGGAUCGGAAAGCUCUGUUGUAAGAGAAGAAAGAGUGUGAGGGUGGAAAGUUCACACUGUGACGGUAUCUUACCAGAAAGGGACGGCUAACUACGUG
rnacentral:rRNA from 1 species